AACCUCCUGAUUCCUUACUCCUCAGAUCUAAAUAUUGGUUGGCGUGGUUGGAAAGGAGGUAAAGUAAAACUGAAGUGGAUUUUGGAGUCUUUAAUGACAUACAAAUUCCUUUUUUUUAAAA
rnacentral:snoRNA from 1 species